CCUACGGGAGGCAGCAGUGAGGAAUAUUGGUCAAUGGACGCAAGUCUGAACCAGCCAUGCCGCGUGCAGGAAGACGGCUCUAUGAGUUGUAAACUGCUUUUGUACGAGUGUAAACGCCGCUACGCGUAUCUUUCUGAAAGGAUCGUACGAAUAAGGGACGGCUAACUCCGUGCCCGCAGCCGCGGUAAUACGGAGGAGUCAAGCGUUAUCCGGAUUUUUUGGGUUUAAAGGGUGCGUAGGCGGUGCGAUAAGUUAGAGGUGAAAUCCCGAGGCUCAACUGCGGAAUUGCCGCUGAUACUGUUCGGCUAGAGAGUAGUUGCGGUAGGCGGAAUGUAUGGUGUAGCGGUGAAAUGCUUAGAGAUCAUACAGAACACCGAUUGCGAAGGCAGCUUACCAAGCUACUUCUGACGUUGAGGCACGAAAGCGUGGGGAGCAAACAGGAUUAGAUACCCGAGUAGUC
rnacentral:rRNA from 1 species